rnacentral:lncRNA from 1 species
UUAUAAUAAACAUAAACAAAACGUCUUUUGACCUAUUGAUUCUCUGUCCACUCAAGCGCUAGUUCGUUUACGAAACUCGAAACUUUAGGUUAUCAGCACAACAGCAGUGUGGUAAUAUAGAAACAAGUUUUGAUGAGUUUGGGCUUCCUGUUUCAUCAAUGGAACAUUUACAAAAACUAGAAACAGAUUGCCUUGACAAUGACCUCCCAGGAUAACUUAUGCUGUUCGGCGUAAUCCUACAACAUGUCGCGGUACGGAUGCAAGGUUGCUUGUGCCAUUAAAGCAUGGCUUCGAUUCGCGAAAUUCGUAUGGAGGGAGGAGAAGAAACAUCAUUUUAACGAUUUUAGUUAUAUAGUUUUAUAUAUAGUUUAUGAUUUUUUUGUAUAUGUGUAAUAGUUUAAAUUA